GGUGGGAGGCAACCCAGACAGCAAAAGAGCGUUGAAUCAACGGUGAAUCAACCUCCGCAUUUUCAACCAAAACAUGUUGAAUCAGCGUUGAGACCGGGCGUCGAUUCAACGUCAGUUUGCUCAUACUGUCCACCGUCGAUUCAACGUUGAAUGGGAGGCGACCGACGACGGCGCGUCGAUCCCUUUUCAACCUUUAUUCAACGAUUAUGGUCGAAUUUUGGUCGAUUCAACGGCAGUUUGCUCAUACUGUUCCAGGUCGAUUCAACGUUGAAUGGAAGGCGACCGACGACGGCACGUCAAUCCCUUUUCAACCUUUAUUCAAUUAAUGAUUAUGGUUGAAUAUUGUGGUCGAUGUUGGUUCUUCACUCACUGAUUUAUUUAAAGGACAUCAUGAUAUGACUCUACAAUUAAAUUAGGAUUUUAAGGCUACUGAAUCUCCUUCAAGGCUCUAAUGAAUAUAUGAAUACACAGAACAUAGGCUAUUGUUGUCAAACAUAUUGUAGCGGCGGCCAAGAAACGCACAGUCAGGCUUUAUUUAACUAGUUCUGUGCCCCGUACACCCCUCGACGCAGACUACUUUUAUUAAAAUCCUCUCACAUAGAGCACCCAACAAACAAACAUGACACAACAACGGUGGCGACAAUAAUGAACAACACAACGUGAUAACCGAACACGAACAACCCAAACCCAAUUAACCCUACUUAUUCUAACGAAUAUACCGUAUUUUCCGGACUAUAAGUCGCGGUUUUUUUUGUAGUUUGGCUUGCCCUGCGACUUAUAUUUCGAAGCGACUUAUAUGCCAAAAUUGUGCGUACAUAAUCUUCGGCCGCAAGAUGGCACCGUCAUUCAUUAGGCCUACAACUGAACGCUGCAAGCCUACUGCACCACCGAAUAAAUUAUAUUCUCGUCGUCAUCGUCCUCAAUGUCCUCCGGUUCAACCAAAGCUACCCCAGCCUUAGCUGCAAUGUUGUGCAACAUAGCUGUCACACAUAUCACAGCGCAUGACUUGGCCGGCGAAAACUGGAGCCCUCCGCUGGACUUGUGAAGGCAUCUAAAGCGCAACUUCCACCUUCCGAUCGUGCCCUCAGGUUUAGGACCGCGGCGCAUACGCGUCCGAUGGAAUCCCGGUGUCACUGAAUUCGGUAUAGUCUCAGAACUACGAGUGGGACCGACACACCUAUAUUGCUAUUGCAAUUUUAUUCAGUCUCUCCAGACUAAACGUUCUUGUUUAAAUGUUUAAAAAUAAAUGCGACUUAUACACCGAUGCGACGUAUUUAUGUUUUUUUCCUCGUCAUGGAGCAUUUUUGGACUGAUGCGACUAAUACUCGGGAGCGACGUAUAGUCCGGAAAAUACGGUAAUUAUUAUUCACACACACACAUUCAUUCAUGGUCGAGGAUCCUGCGGCGCCUGAAAAUAAAUAGAGGAAUAUUAACAUAAGCGGUAUACAAAAUGAGUCCAGCAAUACGACUGAAUGAGGUUUGUUUCAAACUACGCCAUGCGCCCGUGACUUGCAUUGUAUGGAGCCAGUUUCCUGCCAUAAUUCAAACCUGAAACCUGGGUUUGAAAAACUCAACACCUUGUAAAAAAGGUUUUGCAACAUUGAAAAAAGACAUUAUGACCUGAAAAAAAUUCAACAUGUUUUCAAAGUUCAAACAAUAUCACCAGCGCAUUUGCAGAGUUUCAAAUCUGGCACUGUUCUAACAGUGUAUUUCAUUGUUUCCCGGUUUUGAAACCUUGUAAAUGGGAUUCUGCAAACAGGUGUUCAUACAUUGAGAAAUAAGUUUUGAAAGGUUGAAUAUUUAUUUUUAAAAACUUGUAAAGGUGUACGUUUACGCCAUUGCAAUGUAUUUUUUCAGAAGUGACUUCUCAGCACUGACUUUUCAGAGAUUCGACCACACAGGCGCAAGCUUUGAGUCACGUGAAUAUUGGCAGUGUUCUGUCGCGCAUUUGUUUUGAAACUCCUGACAGUCAAAAGUCUGAAGAAAAAAAAACGUUCCUGGGGGCGGGACCAUUUAGCUCUAAACCUAUUGGUUGCUCUCGGCUGACGAACAUUCCAAUCACAUUCUUUUCAUCGGCAGAGCACUGUCAAUCACGCACAGGCCGGUGAACGGCACAUGUACAUCCUUCGUCCCUCCCCAUGCGGGUGUUGGCGCGGAUGGGGGAGUCUGGGCGGUGGACUGCGACGGUAUGAUAGUUGUCUGACCGCUUGGAAUGUACUGACGUACAUUCUAAUCACAUUCUUAACAAACAAACAAACAAACAAACAAACAAACAAACAAACAAACAAACAAACAAACAAACCCGGUCAAGAAUAUAGUGCACCAGGCAAAAAGUCAGCAAUUUGUUUCCUAACCACAGACCCUUAACGCUGGUGCGCAGUGCAGUGGUUUCACUGUCCUCUCGGUCUUAUUUUACUGCACUAUGGGUUACCACAUCGACUCCAUCCCAGUUACUUCUUUGAUUACAGAAUGCAUGCAUGCAGGGUUAAAUUGGUAGGCUACGGGCAUGCAUGCCCGUAGCCCGACAUACCACGAGUAGCCAAGGCUAGCGGAGUAGCGCGUUGUUACAUUCUUAUGUGAAUGUAGGCUUUCGGUGCAAGAUAGCUAGAUAGUAAAAGUAAAAUAACGUCAAACUAAAGUGUUCUAGUGCUGACGGAUAGUCCAAGAGUGCAGUGCAGAAUAUUGUCAGUGUUAAAAGCAUUGCUGCAUCUGGACACAAAACUGAGAUCGCAUAGUAGCCUAUAAAUGGACUUUUUCUGAUUUUACAUGAAAUAAGCAUAGCUCAGGGGUCUCAUUUAUAAAACUGUGCGUGGGAUCGUUACUAAAAAUGUGCGUGCGCCCAGAAGUCAAGUUUUGCGUGCGCCAAAAAAUAUUCGGAUUUAUAAAACACUGCGUACGCACACCUGUACGCAAUCUUUGCUUUAUAAAUCACAUACUGACUAUAAUUGUGCGCAGCUGAAUCAGCUUCACGUUCCGCCCUCUACACGCCCCUUUUUAACCAUAAAUGGUCAAUGCAAAUUACCUCAUGAAUGCGAUCUGCAUAUAAAACAGACUCAGAUGCCGGUAUUAUGUCUUGUUGGAAACAAUGGCAGAAGUACUGAGAAAAUCAAAAAAGCAAAAUUUCACGGAGGUUGAAGUGGAGACACUUGUGGGUGAGAUGGAGGCCCGAAAGGUAGUUUUGUUCGGCGGUCACGGGAUUGGAAUCGCCAACAACAAAAAGCAGAGUGAGUGGCAACAUGUUGCUGCAGCAGUGAACUCUGUCAGUAGCACGGAGCGCACAGUCCCAGAAUUAAAAAAGAAGUGGUCUGACAUAGAGUUACAUAUUUUUAUGUAGCCUACCAAUAAAUCGUUAUGGUCCCUAAAUACCCUCUCCCUCCGAAUCCUGCAUGGUCCGCCAGAAGUGCCAUAUGGUACAGCAUUACCACGGCGCUCACCUCUGUAUUUAUAGGGUUACGGUAAUAAGACUCACGAGAACGCCUUGGAUAAUCAGUUUGUAAUUACCCACGUAAAAUGUUCUUGAACAUAACCCCUUUUUAAUGCCUGAUUUGUCAUGAAAAGCAUCAAGAGUAACGGACAACGAUUGUGAUGAGUGUGGCUUGGUUUUUCACACUUGGGAUUUAAUUGACAUUUGAUCAUGUGUUUACAGUGUCACAUAAAAAUAUUAUGUUAUUGACACAUGUUGGACAGAUGCUUUAUUCCAUGCAGUCGCGCCGUCAGUGGACAUUAUGGAGUGACGGGAUUAAAUAUAGAGAAUUUCUUUUUAUUUCUAUUCUAAGGAGAUAUUUCUGGAGUUAUAACUGAGAAAUAACGCAGUGGAUUUAAAUUAUUCUGAUUAGGAUUUAACGCAUGAUACGGGUUGAAAUUAAAUUGAUGAAGGGCGAUGAUGAAACAUAAUCGUUCUUCUCACUCUGCAAUUCUUCGGUCUGACUUCAGUUCACCACCACACCGUCUGUGUCGCCAAUUCUCCUUUUCCUCCAAACCAUGCGUACGCAUGGGUCAGAGUUUGCUUAGGGCUGCGCACAUUUUCCCGUCAAGUUGGUUUUUUAUAGAUCACAACCUUGGCGUGAAAAGUCACGUACGCAACUUUCAGCCCCGUUUUGUGCGUACGCAACGGUUACAAAUGAGACCCCAGAAGACUACCCAUAGUGCAUAUUAAAAAAUCGACUUGCUGUUUUAAAAGCAUUUAUUUUAAUCAGUGGUAUCUGUGUCUAAUGCUUGUGUGGUGUGACUGAGUUUUGACAAACAUACCGAACAGUACAUCACUAAGGACAGUGCUUUUAAAGGCUUCCUUGAAGCCUUUCCCUGCACAGUUGAAGCGACACGCCAGGUUAUUGGUUAGGCCACUCUGCAACAUCCUUCUUACGGCCUCUUCUGCAGUGUGCCCUCCAAUUAGACUGAAUGUUAAGAUCUGACAAGACAUAAUAAACCAACAAACAAGUGAAACAUUGAUAAUUAUAACAUGUAUAAUUACAAUAUCUCCCAAAAGUGAAUAGGCCUACACCCCUCCCAUUUUUGCAAAUAUUUUAUUGUUUCUUUUCAUAGGAUAACCCUUGGCAUGAAACUUUAUUAUAAGUUAAACUAGUCAUUAUACAUAUUGUAGAGAACUAUAGAUUUAUUGUCCUCAGAAUAUGACUAAAAACACAUCCAUUAACAACUAAACAGCUGGCCACAUAACUGAGUACACUUAAUUAUGAACAUGACCAUUGCGCCCAUAGUGACAAUAAAUCUAUCGUAAUCUACAAACUCUACACUGAAUUCUUUAAGUUACAUCAAAGUUUCAUGUAUAUGGAGUUAUCCCAUGAGAAGAUACAUUAAAACAUUUGAAAAAAUGGCAUAGGGUUUUGUGAGAUACUGUAUGUACCAAUUUAGGUUAGGUGAACUCCUCACUGUUUCACAUAAUGAGUAAUGCGUUAAUUUUGUUUUGAAAGAUACUUCCUACAAAUACUGAGUGAUGUAGUGGAUGGCUGGAAAGAAGAGGUAUGGUUUUAUUAAUUUACACAUAUACUUUGACUAGCUUUUGGGUAGUGCAGAUUUGUACCUACCAUCUUUUGUUUUUCGCAGGGGGUUUCUCUCAUAACAGCCUCUGCUAAUUGAAACUCCUCCAUUGUCCUCAGAGGCAGCUUGAUGGACGAAGCGGCAGCUUCUGGUGCUACCGGCCUCACCAUCUCUCUCCUAAGCGCCCUCACUUCACUCCCCAGCUAACCAAGACCCUCACGUCACCGUGCACGUCCCACGCUGCACCUGGAGGAAGGUGGUGCGCGACUGCCUUCUGGAGGCGGUUAUGAUCGUAAGAACUAGGAGGCCAGAAACAAUUCCAUGACUCCCCUGCCUCCUCCAACCAGCUGCUUGGCACUAUGGUAGUGCUCCUAUCUUUGAAUUCGACGACCUUCCACACCUGUGCCAUCUGUCAAUGAGAAGACAAGGAAUUAGGAUUGGUGAAGAAGAGGGAUGGCAACAUAAUGGUCUUGGUCUGGAAAAAGCACACAUUUUCUGCUGACAUCCCCAAGGAGCUGUUACGUAUUUUAAGAAUCUAAGCUACCCACACAUAGACCAAAAUGAAGCAGGACCAAACAUAUAAGCCGUAAAUACUAUACAUAGCCACAAGGGGAGCAAGACCUUAUUAGAGGCUGCUCCAGCCACAGAUGGCAGCGCCUUUUAAAUAUAUGAAGAAGCCGAAGCCAUUACGGCACCCCGGCCACGCCCACUAGGCCACACCCACUUGGCGGUCUCUACCUGAGGACACGACGUGGGGAUCGCCAGAGAUUUUCAGCAACACCCGCGAAGGGUGGCCCAUAGUAGCCAGAGUUAUUAUCUCUCACACGUGUUCUACACGAUUCCUAGAAUUCCCUCCGUAUAGCUUCACUUACCAUGCCGAAACAUGCCGACGACUUUAUAAUAAAUGAAGUGAGUUCAAAGCAACCCGGGAUUGGACAACUUUCUUCAAGAAUAUGCAAUAGAGCUCAACCUCAAGAUCAUCUACCAACGUAUGGACCUGAAAACAGCCUAUUCGAGAGGAGGGGCAGGGAUAUGUGAAAUGGGAUUCCUUGUACCCAAAUCGUCUGUAGAUGAUGAAGACUGAACCAGAGGAUAGCACAAUGUUUUGGACCAGUCCAAUAUCCUGUCCUACUGCUAUGCAGUUGUUCCCAGUCUUUGUUGACAGGCAGACAUCUGUUGUUACUACCUUUCUGUACUGUUUGGCAGUACUGAAUUGCAGAGGCAAAGGACCAUCCUGGUGCAUUUCGUACAAAAGGGGCUGCUUACUUGGAGGUGGAGUAACAGUUUGAGGCACCUCUGACAGUCUCUUGACUACCUGUUGUAAUGGUAGUUGAGGCUUUCGCAACAUUUUUUUUACUUUUCCAAGGAAGUUUUCAUAAGGAAAUGCAGAGACACGGUCAAGGGCACCAAACUGUUUGUACACAUCAGCUAGAUGUAUCACCUGAUGAACUGUAAAUACAAUUUCUCCUUGACCAUAUAAAUCUCCAAAGCUUUUAACAAAUGCUGUUAGGACUCGAUUGGCAAAAUCAAUCAUGGGUGCAGAGAGGUUGGGGCUGAGUAAUAAGAACACACCCACGGAAAACAACAGGAAGUUCUCAAAAAUCUCUUCUGGUAGAUUGUGCUUUAGGACCACAGGUCCACUGUAAAUCAUGAACUGCCUUAGUUGUAGCCUUCCAUCUUUCGAUCUCUGUCAGCUCUCGUGGUUUUCGGGCAAAUUCAGAUGGAAUAUGGGGACGGAGAGCAAUCAGUUUAGAUGAUAUAGCUGAGAUGACAUUAGAUGGCUGUCUUAUGGCCAGGUUUUUGCCCUUCAUCCAGAAAAGAAUGAGUUUUUUUGUUACACCCAAACAGCAGAGGUGCAUGUAAUCAAUGGGAAACUGGGUUACCAUCUGAACAAUGCCAGUAAGGGGACUAGGUCGCAGGUGGUGAUCUGUGUCUGACAUUAAAGCAAAGUCUUCGUCUGAUCUAAGCCUGGCAUUUAUUUCAGGAUAUGUCAUUUUAUUUUGCCACACGCCAACUUGAUUGCACUUGUCACACCCAGAGUACCCAUUGUGGGACUUCAUCUGUUUCACAAAAGCACUUGCUGGAGCAUCACAAAUGAAGGAGCACACCAUCACCUUUAGAGGUUUACCUCUGAAGGUCAAUCCAUUCCUCAGUAGCUGGGUAAGGUCAUUGACAAAUUCUUUGAGGUAGUCAUACACACUAGAUGGUUUUCCACUUCCACAAAACAAACCAAUAAUAAAAGUUUUUUUUGUGUAAUCACAAUCAAGCAUCGCAAGAAUUGGCCAAAACUGAACGUUUUAACUCUUAAAAAUGGGUAAACCGUCGAUGUUGAAUUGUAACCGAAUUGUCUGAAGGCAGCUAGGCAAAUGGAUUGAAUUCAAUUUUGAUAAAAUUCCCUUAGCCAAUCCAAAAUGGUGAUAUUCACCCCCACCUAAUGCAUGCACAGCUAUUUUCUUUUGUGUGCCAAGAAGUGUCCUGGCAUCUUUAGGCAGCUCAGAGUGGUGUACUCUCAAUAUUGAUAGAAGAGCGGUAACUGCAACAAGAGUAAUGCCAAAAGUUGAUGCCCAUUGCUUUAGUUUAGCUUGUAAACUCAUUUCCUCAGGCUCACUUUCAUCAGAGCUGGAUAACCCACUAAAAUCCUCUCUUUCACUGGCAUCACUGUCUGUAGUGUUUUGGUCAGGACUGUUCUCGAAUUCUGAAGUUGUCCCACACAGUGCUAGAUCUGGUAAGCUAGGGGGGGCAUUUUCAGCCUGAUUAACUGUACUUAAAUGUAAUUGCUGCAAAAUCUCGUUCUCUGUCUCCCUUGCGUUGGACAAGACUCGCCUCCUUUUACUCCAAUAAGAGGCCAUCUCUGUGUGUAUCGGAUACAAUUAUGAAAUGCAAGUUUGAUACCUUUUCUGCCGUGAGCUUUGAAUGGUCUUCAGUGUCCCAUAAAUAUGCAAAUGAAGAAGAAAAAAAACACAAAGUUAGUUUUGAUGGCAUAGUGUGACAACAAUGAAUAGUUGCAUUUAACCCUUUCACAUGCAAGUGAAGAAUCCCCCUUCUAAUAAUGUAUAGCCUAUUAAGGACCUAUUUCAGGAUAAAUAUACAAAUACAUUCACUUUGAAGUGUAGAAGGUCCUACAGGCAGCUGUAAUAAACUAAGAUAUACUAUUUAUGAGAUGGCUUGCAGUGUGCUUAUCUGACAGGAUUAAAACCGUGCAUUCUGUGUGAAUGUGUAUUUGAAUGUUAACAUUUAAUAAUGUUACGUAUUUUAAGAAUCUAAGCUACCCACACAUAGACCAAAAUGAAGCAGGACCAAACAUAUAAGCCGUAAAUACUAUACAUAGCCACAAGGGGAGCAAGACCUUAUUGGAGGCUGCUCCAGCCACAGAUGGCAGCACUUUUAUAUAUACGAAGAAGCUGAAGCCAUUACGGCACCCCGGCCACGCCCACUUGGCGGUCUCUACCUGAGGACAAGGGGUGAAUAGUGGCCAGAGAUUUUCAGCGACACCCGCGAAGGGUCACGGGCCUCUGCCCGUGGCCCAUAGUAGCCAGAGUUAUUAUCUCUGACACGUGUUCUACACGAUUCCUAGAAUUCCCUCCGUAUAGCUUCACUUACCAUGCCGAAACAUGCCGACGACUUUAUAAUAAAUGAAGUGAGUUCAAAGCAACCCGGGAUUGGACAACUUUCUUCAAGAAUAUGCAAUAGAGCUCAACCUCAAGAUCAUCUACCAACGUAUGGACCUGAAAACAGCCUAUUCGAGAGGAGGGGCAGGGAUAUGUGAAAUGGGAUUCCUUGUACCCAAAUCGUCUGUAGAUGAUGAAGACUGAACCAGAGGAUAGCACAAUGUUUUGGACCAGUCCAAUAUCCUGUCCUACUGCUAUGCAGUUGUUCCCAGUCUUUGUUGACAGGCAGACAUCUGUUGUUACUACCUUUCUGUACUGUUUGGCAGUACUGAAUUGCAGAGGCAAAGGACCAUCCUGGUGCAUUUCGUACAAAAGGGGCUGCUUACUUGGAGGUGGAGUAACAGUUUGAGGCACCUCUGACAGUCUCUUGACUACCUGUUGUAAUGGUAGUUGAGGCUUUCGCAACAUUUUUUUUACUUUUCCAAGGAAGUUUUCAUAAGGAAAUGCAGAGACACGGUCAAGGGCACCAAACUGUUUGUACACAUCAGCUAGAUGUAUCACCUGAUGAACUGUAAAUACAAUUUCUCCUUGACCAUAUAAAUCUCCAAAGCUUUUAACAAAUGCUGUUAGGACUCGAUUGGCAAAAUCAAUCAUGGGUGCAGAGAGGUUGGGGCUGAGUAAUAAGAACACACCCACGGAAAACAACAGGAAGUUCUCAAAAAUCUCUUCUGGUAGAUUGUGCUUUAGGACCACAGGUCCACUGUAAAUCAUGAACUGCCUUAGUUGUAGCCUUCCAUCUUUCGAUCUCUGUCAGCUCUCGUGGUUUUCGGGCAAAUUCAGAUGGAAUAUGGGGACGGAGAGCAAUCAGUUUAGAUGAUAUAGCUGAGAUGACAUUAGAUGGCUGUCUUAUGGCCAGGUUUUUGCCCUUCAUCCAGAAAAGAAUGAGUUUUUUUGUUACACCCAAACAGCAGAGGUGCAUGUAAUCAAUGGGAAACUGGGUUACCAUCUGAACAAUGCCAGUAAGGGGACUAGGUCGCAGGUGGUGAUCUGUGUCUGACAUUAAAGCAAAGUCUUCGUCUGAUCUAAGCCUGGCAUUUAUUUCAGGAUAUGUCAUUUUAUUUUGCCACACGCCAACUUGAUUGCACUUGUCACACCCAGAGUACCCAUUGUGGGACUUCAUCUGUUUCACAAAAGCACUUGCUGGAGCAUCACAAAUGAAGGAGCACACCAUCACCUUUAGAGGUUUACCUCUGAAGGUCAAUCCAUUCCUCAGUAGCUGGGUAAGGUCAUUGACAAAUUCUUUGAGGUAGUCAUACACACUAGAUGGUUUUCCACUUCCACAAAACAAACCAAUAAUAAAAGUUUUUUUUGUGUAAUCACAAUCAAGCAUCGCAAGAAUUGGCCAAAACUGAACGUUUUAACUCUUAAAAAUGGGUAAACCGUCGAUGUUGAAUUGUAACCGAAUUGUCUGAAGGCAGCUAGGCAAAUGGAUUGAAUUCAAUUUUGAUAAAAUUCCCUUAGCCAAUCCAAAAUGGUGAUAUUCACCCCCACCUAAUGCAUGCACAGCUAUUUUCUUUUGUGUGCCAAGAAGUGUCCUGGCAUCUUUAGGCAGCUCAGAGUGGUGUACUCUCAAUAUUGAUAGAAGAGCGGUAACUGCAACAAGAGUAAUGCCAAAAGUUGAUGCCCAUUGCUUUAGUUUAGCUUGUAAACUCAUUUCCUCAGGCUCACUUUCAUCAGAGCUGGAUAACCCACUAAAAUCCUCUCUUUCACUGGCAUCACUGUCUGUAGUGUUUUGGUCAGGACUGUUCUCGAAUUCUGAAGUUGUCCCACACAGUGCUAGAUCUGGUAAGCUAGGGGGGGCAUUUUCAGCCUGAUUAACUGUACUUAAAUGUAAUUGCUGCAAAAUCUCGUUCUCUGUCUCCCUUGCGUUGGACAAGACUCGCCUCCUUUUACUCCAAUAAGAGGCCAUCUCUGUGUGUAUCGGAUACAAUUAUGAAAUGCAAGUUUGAUACCUUUUCUGCCGUGAGCUUUGAAUGGUCUUCAGUGUCCCAUAAAUAUGCAAAUGAAGAAGAAAAAAAACACAAAGUUAGUUUUGAUGGCAUAGUGUGACAACAAUGAAUAGUUGCAUUUAACCCUUUCACAUGCAAGUGAAGAAUCCCCCUUCUAAUAAUGUAUAGCCUAUUAAGGACCUAUUUCAGGAUAAAUAUACAAAUACAUUCACUUUGAAGUGUAGAAGGUCCUACAGGCAGCUGUAAUAAACUAAGAUAUACUAUUUAUGAGAUGGCUUGCAGUGUGCUUAUCUGACAGGAUUAAAACCGUGCAUUCUGUGUGAAUGUGUAUUUGAAUGUUAACAUUUAAUAAUGUUACGUAUUUUAAGAAUCUAAGCUACCCACACAUAGACCAAAAUGAAGCAGGACCAAACAUAUAAGCCGUAAAUACUAUACAUAGCCACAAGGGGAGCAAGACCUUAUUGGAGGCUGCUCCAGCCACAGAUGGCAGCACUUUUAUAUAUACGAAGAAGCUGAAGCCAUUACGGCACCCCGGCCACGCCCACUUGGCGGUCUCUACCUGAGGACAAGGGGUGAAUAGUGGCCAGAGAUUUUCAGCGACACCCGCGAAGGGUCACGGGCCUCUGCCCGUGGCCCAUAGUAGCCAGAGUUAUUAUCUCUGACACGUGUUCUACACGAUUCCUAGAAUUCCCUCCGUAUAGCUUCACUUACCAUGCCGAAACAUGCCGACGACUUUAUAAUAAAUGAAGUGAGUUCAAAGCAACCCGGGAUUGGACAACUUUCUUCGAGAAUAUGCAAUAAUAACAUGUCGUUUUUAGUUAUGUAAUCAUUUGAAAGUCCCUUCAAGUUGAAAAAGUACAUGCAUUCUUAUUAUGGCCACACCUGGCGUACUAGUAAAUCAACUGUGAUCAGAUUGGUUAAAAAAAUAGAGGCUGCGUGUGAUUUCAGUUCCGGUUCAAUGCAUUUGUAAUGAGGGGGCGCACUUCUGUGCAGUGUGCAGAUAAGUCGUCGUUGCCAGCAGGCUGCACCCGACAGCCAAGGGAUUUACAUGUGGCAUAGCAAGUCUCUGAAGCAGUGUCUCACACUCGAGUCCUGACCGAGGGCCUUGAAACUGGCAUGCCUGUUCAAAACAUCUCCAGGACAACAAGAAGAUGAAGGAGAAUGCGUGCAGAGGGCUGAAUAGAGAAUUCGUGAAUCAAAGGCAACACCAUCAAAUGCAUUAUGAAAUUAAGCACUUUCAGGUUGUCAAGGCUGUAGCUCAGCGGGUACAUGGUCCUGGAUACCUGAUUAUUAUUUAUUUUUUUAACUAUUUAUAUAUGGAAUCUGAAUGCACUCUCCAAGAAAUGCUGCAGUUCUUUGUGCCACAAGAGGCCAAGAAGCUCUACUACAAGAAGUUGAGGCAGAAGAUGAAGAUUAUUACAAAUUAUCCAAGUCAGUUCCGACCAAGUAAUUUGAUUGGACAAGAGGCAUUCCAGUGCUGAUAUAGAGUAUAACAGCACUGGGUCUUUUAACUAUCCACGUAUCGCUCCGCUUUACGGGUGUUCUCAUAACCAUUAAUGUUAUUAACAAUCUUUUUGUAGCUUAGAUUGCAGCUGAAUUAAGUUGAAUUAAGAAUGGUCGCCAGAAGAGGAACAAGGGAACCUAAUGUAAUGCUAAUGUGUUUGUGUUGCUUGGCAACAGUUCAGUCCAGUUGCGGAUCUAUUUGUGUUGGCGGAGCCAAAUAAAUCAUUAAUGAACCAAAGAAAUCUGAUCAUAAUAUGUUGUUAAUUAUUAUUGUUAACUAAUGAUUGGUGCUUGUAGAACUGUUGGAUAAAAGCAAUAUCACUCAGGAGUGAGUGCUGUUGUACUACGGCUGGGAAGAGAAUCACAGCCGUGCUGAUAUUCAGUACAACAGCACUCCCUCUCGUGUGAUAUUGCUUAAUUAUUCUGUUCCAAAAUUCCAUAAAAAGUCUCAUUACUAAGAAAUAUUGAUGUAUAGUUACUUUUGUCAGUUUCAAGUUUUUGUUUUAACACGGGGGUACCAACAAUGUGUAUGAUGUAUGACUACCUUAAAGCAUUUGUCGAUGAUAUCACCCAGCUGCUGAACCUUCAGAGGUAAACCUCUAAGGUGUGCUCCUUUAUAAGCGAUGCUCCAGCAUGUGCUUUUCUCCAAAACAGUGUGCUAUCCUCUGGUUCAGUCUUUAUCAUCUACAGUUGAUUUAGGUACAAAAAAAGCCCAUUUCACAUAUCCCAUCGAUUAAAUGCACCUCUGCUGUUUGGGUGUAAAUUUUGCCAUCACUAUUUCUUGUUACGUAGAUGAAGACAACUACUUGUCUCUUUCAUGCAUCUCCUUUGUCCACAUCUAUGUUUGGGGAAUGUAAUUUGAAGCCAUUCCGUAAGUGUUUGCUAUGCCUCAUUGUUUAUUUUACUGCAUACUACAUUGGCACACUUGGGAUUUUAUUUUUAUUUUAUUCAAUUUCUUCCCUUCUACAAUGCGGCAGCAUAAACAUUACUACAGAUUUAUUUCCCCCACUUUAUUCUGUUUUUUGGGCAUUUCCUACCAGUGCAAAGAUGUUUAAAUUAGUCACUGAAAGCAGUGUUCUGAAAUGAUAUAAAAAAUAGUUGUGGCCUGUAUAUGUAAGCAUGGACUUCACAUAUUUUUUGUAAAGCUGUACAUGUCUUUAAAGAUAUUGAUGCGGAUGUUUCCACAUUUACACUUCUCAGUGCAAAUGGUUUUUUGAAUAAGUUUCUGAAAGUAGUGCUUUGAGAUGUUUGAGAUAACAAACAUUUAAUGUGUUGGAAAUAUUUUUGGUCGCUGUGUCAUAAUUCAGCUUAAUAUUUAAUACAUUGUUUCUUAUGGCAUAUUAACGAGAAAAUGUCAAACUGGCACUGAAUGUUGAAAAGGUUGACCCCUGGUUACUGUAUUCCCUCUCCUGCUCCAUUACAUGUAUGUUUGUUUAUUUCAAGUUAACUUGUUUUUCUGUGUUAUUACAACCUUGCAACACAUUUCCAUUAAUGUAGUUUGUUUAUUCCUUAACAGUUUUCAAAAAACACAAUCAAAUGGGUACUAAAACCUUAAUCUUUGUCAAGCCAAACUCUUGAGUAAUUAUUUCAAAGAAUAGGGGCGUGGAAAUCAAUAAGGUAAGUGGGCUUUGGGGCAUAUCUUAUGACUAACUUUGGAUCUGAACUAAUGUGAAUCGUGAGUAGAUCUCAUGGUGUUUACAUCGCUUUACUAGGAUUUCUAAAUUGCGGCUUCUGUGUUUUAACCCCUCUCAAAUGCUACUGUUGUAAUGGGGUUUUCUUAACCAGUGAUCUUUAUUGCAUUUGUGAAAGCUGUUUGUGUGAGCUUGCUAAAAGUAUAUAGACCAGUUUUCCAGCCAGAAAUAGUUGUAGCUGCGACAUUCAAUGGCCAUACCUGCAGAUUAUCUACAAGGAUAAGCAUUAAUUGAUCUCAUUACAAAAUGACAAUCGAAAUAUCAGGAAAAUUGCUAAUAUGCGUUACAACCUCAAUUCAACGCCAUUUCGACGUGUGGUAAAUGACGUUGAAAAUUGGCACGCAAAUCAUCGUUGAAACAACGUAGUAUUUUCGACAUUCUCCGACCGUCGAGAUAACGACUAUCCACCACGUUGAUUCAACGGUGAAUUUUAGUCGUCUGACGGAAACCGACUAUUUUAACCAACAAUGAACCCGUUUUCAACGCCCCAUUGCUGUCUGGGAAGGUCCUCCACUAUCGGUCUCUGUGAAGAUCGAGCCACAAUAGAACAUUAACGAGAGUUUCAAUCCUUAUUAUCUUUCACUUCUCCCAUUCUUCUGAACUUUCCUGAAGCCGGCACGGUCUGUGUUCCUA